GAAGUUAGCGGCGGACGGGUGAGUAACACGUGGGUAACCUGCCCAUAAGACUGGGAUAACUCCGGGAAACCGGGGCUAAUACCGGAUAACAUUUUGAACCGCAUGGUUCGAAAUUGAAAGGCGGCUUCGGCUGUCACUUAUGGAUGGACCCGCGUCGCAUUAGCUAGUUGGUGAGGUAACGGCUCACCAAGGCAACGAUGCGUAGCCGACCUGAGAGGGUGAUCGGCCACACUGGGACUGAGACACGGCCCAGACUCCUACGGGAGGCAGCAGUAGGGAAUCUUCCGCAAUGGACGAAAGUCUGACGGAGCAACGCCGCGUGAGUGAUGAAGGCUUUCGGGUCGUAAAACUCUGUUGUUAGGGAAGAACAAGUGCUAGUUGAAUAAGCUGGCACCUUGACGGUACCUAACCAGAAAGCCACGGCUAACUACGUGCCAGCAGCCGCGGUAAUACGUAGGUGGCAAGCGUUAUCCGGAAUUAUGGGGCGUAAAGCGCGCGCAGGUGGUUUCUUAAGUCUGAUGUGAAAGCCCACGGCUCAACCGUGGAGGGUCAUGGGAAACUGGGAGACUUGAGUGCAGAAGAGGAGAGUGGAAUCCAUGUGUAGCGGUGAAAUGCGUAGAGAUAUGGAGGAACACAGUGGCGAGGCRACUUCUG
rnacentral:rRNA from 1 species